UCGCAGUUUGGAUCUUUUAUC
rnacentral:piRNA from 1 species